AGUUCAUGACUUCAUGUGCUAGAUCGCUUUCGCCAGCCAUCCAGCAGCCCUGUUUCGCAACGUUGUUUCGCACUUUAGCAUGGGAAUGAAACACCAUUCAGCGGCUAAACCGCGAAACAAACCAUCUUGAUUCGCACCGCGUUUCGCGUUUUAGUCGCUGUUCGUUUCGCGCUUCGUUUCCGCGUUUUAGGGACACCCGACUAAAAUCAAAAUGACGGUGCAAUUCGGGAAUUUUUUAUUUAUGUUUUAAAUUCACCCUAUUUUGAAAAAUAUCUUUAUAUCAGUAAUAUUGUUAAUAAAUUGACUUUUUUUUUAUUCUUAUGUUAGCAGGAAAAACCUAAAGCUGGAGGAUGAUGCAUAUAUUUCUCAUUACUAGUUUUGUAAACAAAAGGUAAAUUGGUAAAAUGAAACAAUACAAUUGUUUUCACAAAUGGAGAUUUAUUCCACAAUCUUCAGAUUCCCAGGCAGAUACCCCCCCACAAGACCAUGGGUUGAUAGAUGAUAUAAAAGUGUAUAAAUUAAAAUUUAUAUUUUGGGUUUUUGAUCACAGAGUCAGAGAACUAUGUGUGGAAUCUGAUUUUCUAGCCCUGGAAACCCCAGGUGCCUUUCUGCUUAAACAAGGCUAGAAAGCAAUUAUAAUUACAGUAGGUCCUAACGCAGUGUAUGUGUUUGAUGCCCUACUAUACAACCCAGCAAUAUUUAGGCUGCGGUCUUCCAGUGCUAGGAAUUUGUUAUGGCAAGCAAAUAUUUAACAAGGAGUUAGGUGGAGAGAAAAGAUUUUCGCGAUGGGCAAUUCGAGAUACAAGUAGAAACGGAGUGCCCAUUGUUUAAAGACUUAGAGACUCGGCAAAUGGUAUUGCUACCCCAUGGUGACAGCGCAGACAAGGUUGCAGAAGGGUUGCGUUGCGUCGCAAAAUCUUCGCGUCAUAUCAUUUACGCCAUUGCUGAUACUGAACACCGUCUUUACGGAGUCCAGUUCCAUGAUUUGACUGAAAACGGACGAAAAAUGUUGCGCAUAACUUAUUGUUGAACAUGUGUGGAUUGCAAGGAGGUUUCACAUUGGAGAAACGCGAGCAGCAGUGUAUCGAUUACAUCCGGCGUACGGUCGGACGUGAGAAGAUCAUUCUCUUGCUGAUAAGCGGCGAAGUCGAUUCCACCGUUUGUGUUGCCCUUCUCCAUAAAGCACUUCUACAGGGUGACGACUCGUCACGAGUGUAGACCAUCCAUAUCGAUAACGGUUUCCUGCGUAAAGAUGAAUCCGAGCAGGUCGUCACAACUUUACAGCAACUCAGGCUCAAUCAUCGGGUUGUUAAUGCAAGUUUGACUUUCUAUGACGCUUCCACCAACGUGGUCGCCAAACUUUGUCGUUGUGUCGAACUGCUAAUCCGGAAGAAAAGGGUCGAAUUAUUGGCGAUACGUUUAAAACGACCAACGAUUUAAAUGUCACUUGUUAUAAUCUACUUCUCGGACAAGAUAUGAAAAUAUUACAGUUUCUUUGAGACCGGAUUUAAUUGAGUCCGCUUCACAUAUGGCUGCUUCGCGUGCUUAUGCCAUAAAGACUUAUGACGAUUCGAGUGACACGAGCACACGACUUUCUUAUUUCUUAGUCCUUACUCGCAUAGAAAUAUUUAAUGUGGAUUUGGGGGAUGGAGGUUGCGCUUGCUUCGCUUCAAUCAUCAUUUUGUGCGCCAUCAAAUUCUAAACGUUUGGAAAGCACAAAUUUUGAUCCAUAUUUAAAUUGGUAUAAUAAAUGAAGUACCGGCAUCA